rnacentral:rRNA from 1 species
UACGUAGGGUGCAAGCGUUAAUCGGAAUUACUGGGCGUAAAGCGUGCGCAGGCGGUGAUGUAAGUCAGGUGUGAAAUCCCCGGGCUUAACCUGGGAACUGCAUUUGUGACUGCAUCGCUGGAGUGCGGCAGAGGGGGAUGGAAUUCCGCGUGUAGCAGUGAAAUGCGUAGAUAUGCGGAGGAACACCGAUGGCGAAGGCAAUCCCCUGGGCCUGCACUGACGCUCAUGCACGAAAGCGUGAGGAGCAAACAGG